CCUGUGAUGGCUGAGGGGUUAAGGCGUUGGACUUGAAACACAGUGGGGUUUCCCACACUGGUUCUAAUCCUGUUCACAGCA
rnacentral:tRNA from 1 species